rnacentral:rRNA from 1 species
GAUGAACGCUGGCGGCGUGCCUAAUACAUGCAAGUCGAGCGAACAGACGAGGAGCUUGCUCCUCUGACGUUAGCGGCGGACGGGUGAGUAACACGUGGAUAACCUACCUAUAAGACUGGGAUAACUUCGGGAAACCGGAGCUAAUACCGGAUAAUAUAUUGAACCGCAUGGUUCAAUAGUGAAAGACGGUUUUGCUGUCACUUAUAGAUGGAUCCGCGCCGCAUUAGCUAGUUGGUAAGGUAACGGCUUACCAAGGCAACGAUGCGUAGCCGACCUGAGAGGGUGAUCGGCCACACUGGAACUGAGACACGGUCCAGACUCCGACGGGAGGCAGCAGGAGGGAAUCUUCCGCAAUGGGCGAAAGCCUGACGGAGCAACGCCGCGUGAGUGAUGAAGGUCUUCGGAUCGUAAAACGCUGUUAUUAGGGAAGAACAAAUGUGUAAGUAACGAUGCACGUCUUGACGGUACCUAAGCAGAAAGCCACGGCUAACUACGU